rnacentral:rRNA from 1 species
GGAUUAGGCAUGCAAGUCGAACGAGAACCCCGCAAGGGGUGAAAGUGGCAAACGGCGUAGUAAGGCGUAGGUGACGUACCUCCCGAUUCAGGAUAGCUACGGGAAACUGUAGGUAAUACUGGAUAACCCCUCCGAGAUUGAAAAUCGGAGUGCAAAGGUGUGAUUCCGUCAGGAGAGCGGCUUACGUGGUAUUAGCUAGUUGGUGAGGUAAUGGCUCACCAAGGCUUCGAUGCCUAGGGGGUGUUAGCGCAUGACCCCCACGACUGGGACCGAGAUACUGCCCAGACACCUACGGGUGGCUGCAGUCGAGAAUCUUCGGCAAUGGGCGCAAGCCUGACCGAGCGACGCCGCGUGUGGGAUGAAGGCCCUUGGGUUGUAAACCACUGUCAGAGGGGAUGAAAUGCGGGUGGGUUCUCCCAUCCGUUUGACAUAGCCUCAGAGGAAGCACGGGCUAAGUUCGUGCCAGCAGCCGCGGUAAUA